AAACUUAAUCAAAUUAACUUAGAAAAUAUAUUAAAAACGGAGGAGUACUAAAGGAAAAAACAGGAGCAGCGGGGUUCGGUUGGAUCAGAAUUCACAGCCAAUUGAAUAGCGCGCGCUUUGUGUCCUCGUCCUCAUUCGCCAGAAACCGCUGCCUUAAAACCGAAUUCACCAAUGAGAAGGUAAUCUAUCACGACUAGAAGCCGGAUGGUCAUAAUUAUUCCUCUUCAGCAUGUUUCUGUCGGCAUGUGUAACUAGCAAUCUGCUGCCUUUUCGCUCUUGCCUCUCCGUGCUUAUAGCAUCAACCACGCAGUGAUACUUUGUUUCUUUUUCUGAGGAAGGAGCUAGACUUCUAGGAAUUCAGAAAGACUUCAUUAUGUUGGGCAUCAGAUUGGUAGUUGAAUCGAGGUGCCUCGGACUUUAACAGAAAGUAUAUCUCUGGUUUGUUAGAAGCCACGUCCAAGCUUUUAUUUCCCUAUUUAACAUUAUCAUAUAAAUGUGGGGUAUCCAAAUGUACACAUGUGCAAUGCACAUGUCUUCUCAUAUAAAAACAUAGACACACACCUAAGACUUAGUUUGCUUUCUUUGCAACAGCAUAUUAUAUCUGAUUAAGCUGUAUGUAAGGUAGGUGGUUCAAAGAGACCAUUUUUCCCCUCUCCUUCCUAUAAUUGAAUUUUUGUUCAGGAUUUUGAGUGUUGGCAGUCAUGUGGGUGAGGCAUGCAAUGAUGUCAAGAAUUAUUGCUAAGAGGGUAUCCCCAAAAGUUGAUGUUGUGUGGGUUGGACCAGUUACAGGAUGACACAAAUCAAUAGCCCUCUUUACUGAAAGGGACACUUAAAAGUUUUAAAUUUAGAUUUGUAUCAAAAUCUAUGUCACCAUUGGUUCCUUUGGGGGGACCCUUUUGUCAUUGGUGUUGACACGUUAUUGAGAAUGGGUCCCUUGACUUAAUCUUCUUCUGCAGCUUUUUUGAAGAGAUAUUGGUGUUGGUUCAAUUGUUUUCAGCUGAAAAUGCUUUUAGCUAACUCCUCUUUUUCUGCACAAAAUCCAACUUGUGCUUGGAACUGUCUUAGUAAAAAGUUGAAAUGGCUUCUAGUAGGGCCAUUUUAGAAUAUGUAUUAUGUGGGUGUUAGAGAAUUCUGAUAUAGAGCAAUCUGAUAGUAUAUCUACAUAAAAGGUGGUUGCUUUUUUCAUCUGAUUACUUAGUUUUGCUGUGUAAGUUACUCUUCUUGAUUUUUCCAUCCGGUCCAUAUGCUUUUUGUUGAUGUAUUGUCCUAGGUAUCCAACAGGCAAAAUUAGUUGGAACUUUGAUUGUUUCCAUAAAUUGACUAAAAGACAUGGUCCUUUAGGAACUUCAGAAGCCAUAGUGUGAUGUCAAGUGUGAUUUUGCUUAAUGAAGUCUUUUUAUCUUUUUCAUUAUUUUGAGAAGCCAAUGUGAUGUCAAGAGUGAUUUUGCUUAAUUAAGUCAGUUACUAGUAUUAUUCAUAAGAAAUCCUGGGAAAGUUCUGGAAGUUUCUUUUGCGCAUCGAGUCAAAGCAUAUGUGCAAAAUCAGGAGUUGCUUGUUGAAAAUAUGAUACCACCUCAUGUUGGAAGAUUCUUUGUUUUAUAGAUUGCAGCUGUUUCAAACUUUAUGAGCAGUAAAUACUGAAGAAAAAAAAGAGGGAAAGCUUGGUUUUGAUGACUUCAGUUUUAUAGCAAUGCAGAAUUUGUGCAUUGGCUGAGAAUCUACAGACAGAAUUCCUUAAAUUUGGUUAUGAUGAUGUGCAGUAUCUACAAGCUUCUGCAUAUAAUUGCUGUUUA